UACGGAGGGUGCAAGCGUUAUCCGGAAUCACUGGGUUUAAAGGGUGCGUAGGCGGCAUGAUAAGUCAGGGGUGAAAGCUGGCAGCUUAACUGUCAAAUUGCCUUUGAUACUGUUGUGCUUGAAUCAGGUUGAGGUAGGCGGAAUGUGACAUGUAGCGGUGAAAUGCAUAGAUAUGUCAUAGAACACCAAUUGCGUAGGCAGCUUGCUGGGCCUGCAUUGACGCUGAGGCACGAAAGCGUGGGGAUCAAACAGG
rnacentral:rRNA from 1 species